rnacentral:tRNA from 1 species
UCCCUGGUGGUCCAGUGGUUAGGACUCUUGGCACUUUCACUGCCAUGGCCCAGGUUCAAUCCCUGGUCUAAGAA